rnacentral:rRNA from 1 species
GAUGAACGCUAGCUACAGGCCUAACACAUGCAAGUCGAGCGACCGGCACACGUGAGUGUAACACGUAUCCAACCGGGCCAUUACUCGGGGAGAGCCUGUAGAAAGAAAGAAUAAUACCCAAUAUAAAGGAUGGGGAUGCGUUGCGUUAGGUUGUUGGUAAGGUAACGGCCAACCAAGCCUUCGAUGGAUAGGGGUGCUGAGAGGAAGGUCGCCCAGAUUGGAACGAAGACACGGCCCAAACACGUAGGGGAGGCAGGAGUGAUGAAGAUUGGUCAAUGGGCGCUAGCCUGAACCAGCCAAGUAGCGUGAAGAAUGCAGGCUUAUUGGUCGUAAACUUCUUUGAUAUAAGAAUACGUAUUAUAUGAAUAAGGAUCGGCUAACUCCGUGCCAGCAGCCGCGGUAAUUC